GCACUUGAAACACUGUAGACACUGUCUAACAAAUAUUUAUUCACAUCAUAAAGAUGUGAAAACAUGGAAAGAAUCAUUGUACAAAUACAAUUUUCAGAUUUAAUCAUAUUCCAGUGACUAAAGUGGCUCUGGCAGUUAAUGUAGACAACCCAAUGUCAACAGGCCCUGCAGACUUAACCAAGUAGUUCAGCGGCAAAGUGGGGAGUUGAAGUGAAGAAUUCAAACCAAGAAUGCUUUAAGGCCAUGCUUAGAUUAUUCUAGGAAUGUCUGGCAAUGACAUAAUCUCCUUCUCCUGUCCACACUGAGUUUGAUUGUAUGACUUUCUCUGGACAAUGAAACUAAAUUAGCAAAUAUGAUCCAAGCAAAGACUUGAGAAACCUUCCAUGUUGCAGCUUUCCCUCUCAGAGCUCCUGGAAAUGCUUCUACAACCACCUGAAGAUUGGGAUUCCAGCCUAUCCUGGUAGAAGAUGGAAACACACGCAACAGAAAUGCAUUGUUUUAGUGGAGGCCCAGUCAGCUCAUAGUCAACCCAUCAGCCAAGUGCAGAUUCAUGAGGAAGCCAGGUACUGCUGGCAAUAAAACUGGCCAAGUAAUUCCAGUCCAAAUCUGAUGCACAAGAUUGUGAGUGAAUUACAGCUCAGUAUCCAUUAAGAUCCAGCAAUGUGUAGAGUGGUUUAUUAUACAGCAUUGGCUUAAGAUCAUGGCAUUGAAAAGGGACUUCAAAGAAGUGAAUAAAGUUGUGUGUGCAUGUAUGUGUACAUAUGCAGAUAUAUCAUA